GGACAGUUAGCCUAAUGGUAAGGCAGCAGUUUGCUAAACUGUGAGCGUUUACACGCUUUAUCGGUUCGAGUCCGAUACUGUCCGCCA
rnacentral:tRNA from 1 species